UACGUAGGGUGCGAGCGUUAAUCGGAAUUACUGGGCGUAAAGCGUGCGCAGGCGGCGCGUUAAGACAGGUGUGAAAGCCCCGGGCUCAACCUGGGAAUGGCAUUGGAAACUGGCAGACUAGAGUGUGGCAGAGGGGGGUAGAAUUCCACGUGUAGCAGUGAAAUGCGUAGAGAUGUGGAGGAAUACCGAUGGCGAAGGCAGCCCCCUGGGCCAAUACUGACGCUCAUGCACGAAAGCGUGGGGAGCAAACAGG
rnacentral:rRNA from 1 species